UGGGGAAUAUUGCACAAUGGGCGAAAGCCUGAUGCAGCAACGCCGCGUGAGGGACGACGGCCUUCGGGUUGUAAACCUCUUUUAGCAAGGAAGAAGCGAAAGUGACGGUACUUGCAGAAAAAGCGACCGGCUAACUACGUGCCAGCAGCCGCGGUAAUACGUAGGGCGCAAGCGUUAUCCGGAAUUAUUGGGCGUAAAGAGCUCGUAGGCGGUUUGUCGCGUCUGCUGUGAAAACCCGAGGCUCAACCUCGGGCCUGCAGUGGGUACGGGCAGACUAGAGUGCGGUAGGGGAGAUUGGAACUCCUGGUGUAGCGGUGGAAUGCGCAGAUAUCAGGAAGAACACCGAUGGCGAAGGCAGAUCUCUGGGCCGUAACUGACGCUGAGGAGCGAAAGGGUGGGGAGCAAACAGGCUUAGAUACCCUGGUAGUCCACCCGUAAACGUUGGGAACUAGUUGUGGGUCCAUUCCACGGAUUCCGUGACGCAGCUAACGCAUUAAGUUCCCCGCCUGGGGAGUACGGCCGCAAGGCUAAAACUCAAAUGAAUUGACGGGGUCAUAGCUGUUUCCU
rnacentral:rRNA from 1 species